ACGGAGGAUGCAAGCGUUAUCCGGAUUCAUUGGGUUUAAAGGGUGCGCAGGCGGAAUGAUAAGUCAGUGGUGAAAUCCUACGGCUCAACUGUAGAACUGCCUUUGAUACUGUUGUUCUUGAGUACAGUUGAAGUGGGCGGAAUGUGUUGUGUAGCGGUGAAAUGCUUAGAUAUAACCCAGAACACCGAUCGCGAAGGCAGCUCACUAAGUUUUAACUGACGCUCAUGCACGAAAGCGUGGGGAUCAAACAG
rnacentral:rRNA from 1 species